rnacentral:piRNA from 1 species
UAAAAGUAUGAGAAUUGGAUUUU